rnacentral:lncRNA from 1 species
CCCAAUUGAGGAUUCUCCAGUAGGAAACAAUGUUGGUGAGGAGUCAGGACCUCAAACCUCUGGAGCUUCCAAUGGCUCAACAAUUUCGGUGGAUAUGAAGUCUAGGCCAAGAAGGUCGCCUCUAACAGCAAGAGAGAGACUAAAGGCUGCGAGAGUUAUCAGCCGUUACACAGAAUCAAAGACAUCAGAAUCAGAGAUGGGCAGGAAAGUAUUGGAUGCCCUGAGAGAAAGUGACAAGGGCAAGAAAAGAUCUGGCCUUCCAGAAGUUCCUGAAAACUUGUUUGAUGACAGCAAGCGAGGUUGCCA